rnacentral:lncRNA from 1 species
CCUAACUCAGUAGCCUCUAUGGAUAAAUACAGACAUCUUCGUAUCGAUCCCUCAGACUCUACGAAGCUCAUCCGUGAGUUGUGAGACCUAUGCUACCUAGGGCUCUAAACCAACUUAUCACGACCCGAAUUCACCACCCUCGGGAGUCGUGUUGGCGCCUACUAAUGAGAGCUAGGCAAGCCAAAACUUAAUCUCGUCAUCAUUACAAUAUACUCAUUCUUAGCAAUUAUUGGUAAUAUCAUGAAACAAUAAAAAUAAAUAAACAAAUAAGUGGAAGUCCUUAAUUAAAGGAACUGGUUAAAAUGCGGAAAUCCAACAUAAUCCUCUACCCAAGAACUGGUGUCACAUACUCACGAACCACUAAGAGUACAACAUAGAACCGUUUGAAAAGGAUAAUACAUUAUUUAUCACGAAAUACAUGAGAUAACAAAUUAAAAAACAAAAUAUUGGAGACUCCGCGCCUGUGGACGUCUGCAAGGCCACCUCGGUGUCUUGGUGGACUGAAGGUUGGCUCCCGAUCUAAUACUGCUGCUCAAAUGAUACUUCGGCACCUGGAUCUGUGAAAAAGAGUACAGGGUGUAGCAUCAAUACAACUGACUCCACGUGCUGGUAAGUGUUUAGCCUAACCCCAGCUAAGUAGUGACGAGGCUAGGACCAGACUCCAAAUAAGCUGGUGCAAUUAUAUAAUAUAUAGCAAAAAGUUAAACAAGUAAUGAGCACUUAAAGCUUGGGAAGGGGAACAUGCUGUAAGGAUGAAAGAUAAACAGAAUAUCAAGAACAAUAAGAAAAAACUAUAAUUUAAUUUCUAACGCCGGUAAAAAGAAGUAAUGACAACUUUCACUCUCAGUUUAAAUCUUGUUACAGACGUGCAAGCCGAUCACAUUUCAUCAUCUCGUGGUAGGCAUACCACUCCCUCCCAUUUCAUCAAGUCUCGUGGUAGGCGUAUGACCCGAUCCUAUUCAUUAUAUCUCGUGGUAGGUGUACCACUCGCUCCCAUUUUAAUAUCUUGUGGUAGGAAUACCACCCGUUCCCAUUUCCUUGUAUCUAGUGAUAGACGUACCAACCUGCUCCCAUUUUAAUAUUUUAUGGUAGGCGUACCAUCCGCUCCCAUUUCAAUAUCUCGCGGUAGGCGUAUCACCUGCUCCUAUUUCAAUAUCUUGUGGUAGGCCUACCACCUGCUCCCAUUUCAAUAUCUUGUGGUAGGCUUACCACCCGCUCCCAUUUCAAUAUCUUGUGUUAGCCGUACCACCCGCUCCCAUUUCAUGUUAUCACAUAAUCAUAUGAAAUUCCGGCAAGAGAAUAAAGUAACAUAAUAACUUCCCGGUAAGGGAAAAACAAUAUAAAAAAAAUCAUCCUGGUAAGGGUGAAUCAUCUAUUACCAGCUUUAACUCAGUUUGAUUAAUGGUAAUGCUCAAUCAUAAAUAGGAUCUACAAGGAUAAAAAAAAUCUUUGCCUGAUGCGGUAAAUCGUUGGUUAAGGCAUAUAUGGUGUCAUUUAAGAAUACAACAACUCCAAACUUAGAACUCACGGUCAUGCUUGACAUCAACGUAUAGAUACUCGUCACCAUGCCCAUACGUCGUACUCAACAAAGAGCAAUUAGCACUUAAGAUUAAACUCCUAAUCCCUCAAGCUAAGGUUAGACCUAAUACUUACCGUAAUGCCUUGAAUUCAAGUCAAGUCUCAAUUAUAGCUUUACCCCUUGGUUCCACCACUAAUCCGCUCAAAUCUAGUCAUAAGUUAUUUAAUCUCAUUAACAAAUGCCAAAUGAAUCAAACCCGAUGCAUGAAAAUAAGUUUUACAAAGUUUUACCCCGAAAGGUAAAAAAUUCCCCAGGCCCACGUGGUCGAAACUCGAGGUUCAGACCAAAACCCAGUUACCCAUUCUCCCAUGAAUCCAAAUAUGUUAUUUGUUUUAAAAUCGGACCUUAAAUUGAGGUCCAACUCCCCAAUUUUUAGAAAACCUAGGUUAUACACAAAACACCUAAUUUUCCCAUGAAAAUCUUUGAUUUGAAGUUGAAAUCGUGUUAAAAGAUGUUAAGGAGUGAAGAAAAAUGAGUUAGAAAUCACUUACCAAUCGUUUUGGAGAAGAAGAGUUGUUUGGAAAAUCGCCUCUUAUAUUUUUGGGUUUUGAAAAGUGUAAAGUAACUGAAAUUCACUUGUAUUUAUACCCUUUUGAAGAUACCUGUGCGGGCCGGGCAAAAACGGACCUCGGCCGCACAGGAUUUCUGAAGAGCUGCGGAUCAUUGCCCAGUGCAGACUGCACUAAGCCGACCGCGCCGCACAGUACCCACCGCGGACCGCGCAAAGGCGACCGCGGCCGUGCUGGCCCCUCCGCAGCUGCGCAAGAGGGUUCAGAGACAUGUCAAUUUCUUGAACCCGCAAUAUAUAAUUCUUUUGAUACUAAGGCAUCCUGGAGAACCUACUCUAAGUUCACGCAAGCCCUCAAAACUUUAAUCCAAGUAUACAUACAACCUCAAAAACAUCAUGAACAUCGAAUUGAACCUCAAGAUUGAGGAAAUUUCUCAAAACUUCUUUUGAAGCAUAAAUUUCCCAAUUAAGGUCUGGAUUGCGUCAAACAACGUCCGUUUUAACCAACUUUACAGGAGUGAUUCCAAAAUGAAUAUGAGACUUGUGCCGAGCGCCGGAACAAAAAUACGGGCCAGGUACCAUUACUUUAAAAUUAGAUUUCACUGCAAUUUUCUUUAAACAUUUUCAUAAAAGAAUUUUUACUUAAAAUUAAUAUUUCAAGCUUGGGACUUUGAAUUUCAAUUUCGGGCAUACGCCUAAUUCCCAUAGUUUCCUACGGGCCCUCUAGGACCGUCAAAAUAUUGGUCCAGGUCCGUUUACCCGCUAUGUUGACCCAAGUCAAAUCUAUUCAUUUUAGUAACAACACUUAGCAUUUUCAAUAAAUUUCACAUUUAGGCUUUCUGGCUACGCGCCCGAACUGCGUACACAAAUCGAGGCAACCCUAAUAAAGUUUGUAAGGCCUCGAAGACACGGAAUUCGAUUAAAAAAUAGGUGAUGACCCCUUUGGGUCGUCACAGGACAUCGCCAACUCAGGUGGGGGAGAAUGUCAUGGUUGAUAUUCCAGCCAUGCCCCCUGACCUUUUGGACGCUCCCCAUGACGUCCUAGCAAGCCUCCAAUGCCUAAUGCCAUGGACGACCAUUGGUCUUGAUUGCGCCAAGUGACAAACGCGCAUGUGCCUCCGUUGCCCCCAGCAAUAGCCCUCGCCAGUGCCCAGCUACAGAUGUAUGACAACAAUGUUGCGCAGGCAGACAACGUCACGCGCAUAGUCCGCUAUGCCAAAGGUAAGGUUGCUGAAAACAAACAUGUUUCUACCUUGUAGGAAACUAAGUCCUUUUCAUUGUAAAUAUAGAGUAGCUUUAUUUCAUAUGCUUCCAUUAUGUUUCUAGCUUAGUUAGGUUAAGUCUUGUAACUUUAGUUUAUUUUAUUUUUUUAAGAAUUAUUAGGGAGGAUCAAGAAAUCAAACUUUCCAGCUAGCAAACAAUUCUCUGUACAGGUAUCUCUACCCCUCGAUAUUGUGUUGUCUUUUUGUAAUAACUUUCAUUAAUGUAAUCAUAUUUUCUUUCAUUCUCAAUUCUCUUUUUGAUUCUCUCAAUUUCUCUUGAUAUUGAUUCACCACUAACAAUCUAGUCUAGCAUAUAGAGUUGAACUUAGUUAGUGAAAAGUAACUGCACAAACAUCGGUUGCUUAGCCUUAUGUUGCCCUUUCAAGGAAUCUCAGAAAAGCGCCGCGUAACAGGCUCAACAUUGGAAAAGGAAAUACAUUGUCAUUACUACCAUUUCUGACCAUGGUGAAUCAUGCGGAACGUAUCGCGGUCCUUGAAGAGACGAUUGACGUAUUAUGGCAUGUUAGAAAGGGUAUAACCCCUUUCCCUACUUUUGGUUUCUCAAUUUUAGUAUCUCUGAUGUUAAACCAUUAACAAUGGAAAAUAAACAUAAACCCAUUAACAAAAUGACCGAAUCAAAUACAACGACGACGAUGAUCUAGUAGAAUCCCAACAAAUAAAGCAAUAGCGAAUAAGAGAUACAUAAUCUAAAUUGAUCUAACGUCCGCGAAGAAUAAGGCGAAAAAAUAAAGACAAAUUGUGAAAUUACGAAAAGUAAAAAUAUUGACAAAUCUCUAAAUAACAUAUCAAUUAGCAAAAUCACAAAGAGCUAAGAGACUAACCGGAUGCUAUUUGACCCGGAUUCAAGUUCUGUAGAAAAGAGCCAAAAAAGUAAUGAACAAAGAGAAAGCCAUUAAAAGAGACUAUGAACAUGAUAAAAGAAAAAAUGAAAGAUGGAUGACUUUAAAGAAUGGAAGUGGACACGCCAUUCCUUAUAAGUGGACACAUGGAUAAGCUGCCAGGUAAAAUAACAAAUAAUAUAGUGGGACACGCGAAUUAUAU